AGAGUUUGAUCCUGGCUCAGAACGAACGCUGGCGGCAGGCCUAAUACAUGCAAGUCGAGCGCUGUAGCAAUACAGAGCGGCGCACGGGAUAAUAACGCGUGGGAACCUACCUUUUGGUUCGGGAUAACAUCGGGAAACUGGUGCUAAUACCGGAUAAGCCCUCUGGGGGAAAGAUUUAUUGCCGAAAGAUGGGCCCGCGU
rnacentral:rRNA from 1 species